rnacentral:lncRNA from 1 species
CUUCCAGCAGACAUGCCAAGAAGCAAGCCAGGGUCAGUGAGUGAAGAGGAGGGCAGGCCCAUUUGAAGCAACACAGUUUAUAUACAUGAAAAGAAAGAAGGAGAGAAGGAAGAAAGGAGGGCGGAAGGAAAGGAAGAAGGGAGAGAAGAAGAGAAGAAAGAAGCAGAGAAAGGAAGAGAAAAGAAAUUACGGCCAGUGCGGUGGCUCACGCCUGUAAUCCUAGCACUUUGGGAGGCCUAAGCGGGCUGAUCACCUGAGGUCAGGAGUUCGUAAGCCAGCCUGGCCAACAUGGUGAAACCCUAUCUCUACUAAAAAUACAAAAAUCAGCAGGGCAUGGUGGUGCGUGCCUGUAAUCCCAGCUACCUGGGAGGCUGAGGCAGGAGAAUAGCUUAAACCUGGGAGGAAGAGGUUGCAGUGAGCCGAGAUUGCUCAAUUGCACCCCAGCCUGGGUGACAGAGCAAAACUCCAUCUCAAAAACAAACAAACGAACAAACCUGAUAUUUUCAAAAUUGAGGCAAUUAUAACAGCUAUUUAGCCAAGCAUUAUGAUAGCAAUAAUAGCAAGAAAAUAAAUUAGUUAACAAAUGAGUCUCAGAAGCCCAAUGAUUUUUAUUUUAUUUUUAUUUUUUGAACUUUUAUUUUAGAAUCAGGGGAUACAUGUGCAGGUUUGUUACCCGGGUAUAUUGCAUGAUGCUGAGUUUUGGAGUAUGCAUGAAUCCAACCUGUCAUCCAGGUAGUGAGUAUAGUACCCAACAGAUAGUUUUUUUAACAUUUACUUCACUCCCUUCCCCAAUCUUGUAUUCCCCUGUGUCUACUGUUCCCAUUUUUAUGACUGUGCCAACAAUAAUUUUUUUUCUUUUUUCUUUAAAUAGAGAUGGGGGUCUCUAUUUAAAGAGCCUCCCAAAGUGCUAGGAUUACAGGUGUGAUCCAUUGCACCUGGCCCAUGCCAACAAUAUUUGAAACCCUUAUCUGCGUGUACAAGUUUGCUACUGGUUUUGUUUUGCUCAUUAAUACAUCCCAAGCAUCUAUACCUGGCUUGUAGUACCAGCAUGUAGUAGGUGCUUAAUAAAUAUUUAUUGAA